GCCUACACAUGCAAGUCGAGCGGUAACAGANAGUACCUGGCURCUUUGCUGACGAGCGGCGGACGGGUGARUAAUGCUUGGGAACAUGCCUWGGGGUGGGGGACAACAGUUGGAAACGACUGCUAAUACCGYAUAAUGUCUACGGACCAARGGGGGCUUCGGCUCUCGCCUUUAKAUUGGCCCAAGUGGGAUUAKCUAKUUGGUGAGGUAAUGGCUCACCARGGCGACKAUCCCUAUCUGGUUUGAGAGGAUGAUCACCCACACUGGGACUGASACACGGCCCACACUCCUACGGGAGGCAGCAGUGGGGAAUAUUGCACAAUGGGCGCAAGCCUGAUGCACCCAUGCCGYGUGUGUGAAAAAGGCCUUCGGGUUGUAAAGCACUUUCANUCARGARGAAAGGUUAGUAGUUAAUACCUGCUAUCUGWGACGUUWCUGACARAAGAAGCACCGGCUAACUCCGUGCCAGCANCCGCGGUWAUACGGAGGGUGCGAGCGUUAAUCRRAAUUACUGGGCGUAAAGCGUACNCANGCGGUUUGUUAAGCGAGAUGUGAAAGCCCCGGGCUCAACCUGGGAACUGYAUUUNAAACUGGCAAACUAGAGUGUGAUAGAGGGUGGUAAAAUUUCAGGUGUAGCCGGANAAAUGC
rnacentral:rRNA from 1 species